rnacentral:rRNA from 1 species
GACGAACGCUGGCGGCGUGCUUAACACAUGCAAGUCGAACGAAGUGGCGAACGGGUGAGUAACGUGUAAUCAACCUGCCCUUCAGAGGGGGACAACAGUUGGGAACGACUGCUAAUACCGCAUACUGAAGGUGGGGAUUGCGUCUGAUUAGCUAGUUGGAGGGGUAACGGCCCGCCAAGGCGAUGAUCAGUAGCCGGUCUUAGAGGCUGAACGGCCACAUUGGGACUGGGACGCGGCCCAGACUCCUACGGGAGGCAGCAGUGGGGAAUCUUCCGCAAUGGACGAAAGUCUGACGGAGCAACGCCGCGUGAGUGAUGACGGCCUUCGGGUUGUAAAGCUCUGUUAAUCGGGACGCGGUACCUGAAUAGAAAGCCACGGCUAACUACGUGCCAGCAGCCGCGGUAAUAC